UACGAAGGGGGCUAGCGUUGCUCGGAAUCACUGGGCGUAAAGGGUGCGUAGGCGGGUCUUUAAGUCAGGGGUGAAAUCCUGGAGCUCAACUCCAGAACUGCCUUUGAUACUGAGGAUCUUGAGUUCGGGAGAGGUGAGUGGAACUGCGAGUGUAGAGGUGAAAAUUCGUAGAGUAUUCGCAAGAACACCAGUGGCGAAGGCGGACUCACUGGCCCGAGUACUGACGCUGA
rnacentral:rRNA from 1 species